AUGCAAAUCCCCAAAGAGAGCCAGCCGCCGGCCCCAUUCAGUUUCCUCCCUCAAAGGCUGGGGGUGUGCGCCCUGGGCAGGGCGAAGGGUUCCCUGCGGAGACGCCCCAGCCCCGCCUCGUGCCACUCCCCAGCAGGCUUCGGGGCCUGUGCACAGACGCACACGGCGGGGGAGGAAGAAGGGGUCAACUUCACGCCAGAUGUUCUGGGGGGAGCUGCUUCUUCAGUACGUGCUUGGAUCAAGGGUGCAUUUGCAAACGUUUCAAAAUGCCGUAGAAGAGAAAAGGAGAAUCAUACCUCCAUUCCACCACCCCACUCCAACCCCUCCACCGUGGCGCCAAUGCUACAGACCACUCCCCACCUCAGUCCCAGAAGAAUGGAAGGAAGGCUGCAACUUAAGAGACUGGGGUUAGAAGUGAUCUUCAGAAAUGGUUUGCCUUGCCUGCGUCUAGAGUUCUUACGGUACGGGUCCUCCAGGUGGUUUUCAGGCUUUUCUCUUAUGUAACCAUGUUUAUGAGGUGAAGUUAUUUGACGAUGUGCUUGUACUGCUUUCAAAUAAUGAAAACCAGCCAUUGCCCUACUAAUGUCUCAUCAGAACAAAAAUUCUGCCUUCCACGUGCAGACCGCUCUCUGGUUUUCAAAACUACUGCUUCUCCCUUCCGGAACAGCCCUACCUUCCCACUUGGAAGGGGGCACGGGAAAGUGGCUGCACUGAGUUGCCCCUCCUGCCUCCCUUCCCUCCCCUCCCCUCACCCUCUCCACCUCCUGCUUUGCAGGAGGCAGUGGGUUGAUGUCCACGUUGAUCUGCAGGUGGGUUCCAGUUGGACAGUCUCUGGACAAAAGCAAAGCCUACUUUUCUCCUCAGGGUGAAAGGGGUGGGGAGAGACCAUGAGGAUGGGAGGAGUGUGCCCCAAAUCAAAAUGCUUCUCCUGGAAGUCAGGAAAGAAUUCCAGAUCACUAGCUCUGACCAGACUCUUGUGCUAAAGAAACAGGCUGGGGCCGGGUGCGGUGGCUCACGCUUGUAAUCCCAGCACUUUGGGAGGCCGAGGUGGGUGGAUCACGAGGUCAGGAGAUCGAGAGCAUCCUGGCUAACACGGUGAAACCCCGUCUCUACUAAAAAUACAAAAAAUUAGCUGGGCAUUGUGGCAGGCGCGCGUAGUCCCAGCUACUCAGGUAGGAGAAUUGCUUGAACCCGGGAGGUGGAAGGUGCAGUGAGCGGAGAUCGCGCCACUGCACUCCAGCCUGGGCGAUAGAGCGAGACUCCGUCUCAGAAAAAACAAAACAAAACAAAAAACAGGCUGUAAGGGCAGUCUCUUCUAACACUGCCCUGGAGCUAGGUUAUUUCCUAGACUGGCUCAGAAAAUAUCUGUCUUUGAGGACAGUGCUGCUUUAGCAUAGAAUCUAGCAGAACACCGUCGUUCUACAUGGUCCUGGCAUGACCUCCCCUUGGGGUGUGGACGGCGGAAAAGGGCACAUAGUUUCGGUUUGACAGCCUAAGAUGUGAAUCCCAGUUGAGCCAUUGACUAGCUGUGACCUUGAGCACAUUAACUUUCCUGAACUUCAAGUUUUCUCAUCUUAAGUCGGGGUUAAUAAUACUUACACUGUGGCCCUAAAAAAUCAGAGAGAAAAAAGAGUCUAUGCAAAAUGCUUCCUUCAUACAAAGGGCCCAGAAGCGGUAGUUUUUUGUUUGUUUGUUUUUUGAGACAGUUUCGCUCUUGCUGCCCAGGCUGGAGUGCAAUGGCGGGAUCUCGGCUCACUGCAACCUCCGCCUCCCGGGUUCAAGUGAUUCUUCUACCUCAGCCUCCCCAGUAGCUGGGAUUACAGGCGCCGCCACCACACCCGGCUAAAUUUUGUAUUUUUAGUAGAGACGGGGUUUCGUCAUGUUGGCCAGGCUGGUCUUGAACUCCUGACCUCACGUCCGCCUGCCUCGGCCUCCCAAAGUGCUGGGAUUACAGGAGUGAGCCAGGGCCGGGCGCGGUGGAAAUAAAAUUAGUUUUUAAAUUGUUGUUAAAAUUAAAUUAGAAAGUUUGAAGACUAAAUAUAGUUCAGACAUUGUUGCCUGGUCUAUUGGUCAAACAGAUGUAUACCGACACUGC
rnacentral:lncRNA from 1 species